rnacentral:rRNA from 1 species
GGGCCACGGGGGCCUACGGGAGCCAGCAGUGGGGAAUUUUCCGCAAUGGGCGAAAGCCUGACGGAGCAACGCCGCGUGAGGGAUGAAGGCCUCUGGGCUGUAAACCUCUUUUCUCAAGGAAGAAGAUCUGACGGUACUUGAGGAAUAAGCCACGGCUAAUUCCGUGCCAGCAGCCGCGGUAAUACGGGAGUGGCAAGCGUUAUCCGGAAUUAUUGGGCGUAAAGCGUCCGCAGGCGGCCCUUCAAGUCUGCUGUUAAAACGUGGAGCUUAACUCCAUCAUGGCAGUGGAAACUGUUGGGCUUGAGUGUGGUAGGGGCAGAGGGAAUUCCCGGUGUAGCGGUGAAAUGCGUAGAUAUCGGGAAGAACACCAGUGGCGAAGGCGCUCUGCUGGGCCAUAACUGACGCUCAUGGACGAAAGCCAGGGGAGCGAAAGGGAUUAGAUACCCCUGUAGUCCUGGCCGUAAACGAUGAACACUAGGUGUCGGGGGAAUCGACCCCCUCGGUGUCGUAGCCAACGCGUUAAGUGUUCCGCCUGGG